rnacentral:tRNA from 1 species
GGCUUGUUAGCUGAGUUGGUAGAGCACUGCACUGGCAUCGCAGAGGUCAUGGGUUCGAAUCCCGUACAGGCCU